GUCAAGGCAGUUUCAAAUGUCUGCCCAGGCUGAUUCCACCUUUUGUUGAGUUCAGAAGAGCACAGAAAAUGCUGCAGUUACAGACAUUUUUUGCAAACAGUCUCCCACAUCCUCCUUCCCAGACUUCCCCAUCUCCACACCUCUCUGACCACUUUUGCAGCAGAACCACUGUUUUCUAGGUCAGCAGUUCUCAACUGUGACCCUGCUGGAAUUCAUUAACCUAGUUUCAGGCUCCGUAUGUUGGGACUGACGAGGCAAUCCUGAAAAUGGUUCCUCUGGCAUCUCAGCUUCACAAAUUAUGCACACUUAUUUGAGACACUGAUUCUUGCGACCUGCCCAGGCUCCCCGGUGCCACCGUGUGUCUUCCUGCGGAGGAAAUGAGGCUGACACAACAGGCAGAAGUCUCCAACACAAGGGGUAGGCUGUUACCUUGUCAUUAUCCACACCACCACAGGAAAUUGUACCCUGAAUGAUCAGAGUAAAAGGCAAUACAAAACCAU